UAGGACUUGGUGUAUUAGGUAGCACGAAGGAUUUUGAAUUCUUAGGAGUAGGUUCGAUUCCUAGGGUCCUAG
rnacentral:tRNA from 1 species